GCCCGCCAGGAUAUGUUUCUGCUAGACCCUCAAUGAACUCAGUUACCACAUCAUUGGGGCUGUUGAUGAGUUUCUUUCCUUGAAAAGCCAUUAAAACGGCGUAGCUUCAGCGAUCGAAGAGGGCGAAGAAAGAGCGGAGACCUGUAGUGUAAAGAUUUUGCAUGAAACCCUAGAGAUUGGUUGAUCCUGGGAAUUUGAAUUGCAGAGUAUCACCUGGAGAAAGAAAGCUCUCUGUCUCUGUCUCUC
rnacentral:misc_RNA from 1 species